UGAACUGAACUGAACUGAAAAUAAUACUUUAACUAAAGCGGGUUAAAAAUAUUUGGUUAAAUACUUUAGUAAGUGAACUGUGACAUCAUGUGCAUAAAAGGGGAAGUGACGGUGCCUGAUUAUGAAGCAACAAGUGAAAUCCGGUUUGGAUGCCACAGCGUCAUGUUCAUAUCUCAUGUGUGUGUUCACUGUACCAGCCGCUGCUCCAGCUCCACCUGAUCCGACAAGGCUGCAUUCACCUAAGCAGAGCACCACUGAACAUUUCACAAAGGGUCGGACGAGGGGCUUUGCCCAGCGCCUUGGACAAUGGACCGGCUCGCGUGGCACGGCACAGGUAACGAGUACCGGUGCCAACCGUGCAAUCACAGCGACGGCAGAGCUACAGCUGGUCCAACGCCUCUCCUCGCUACCCUCUGGGGAAUGCUUCAUAGUCCCCUGCCUAACGAAUGCGAGCGAGGCGUCUGCAUUCCCCUACCAAGCGGUCAGAAUCCCUUUUGACGAAAUGAGACGCCACCGAGUCACAAACCCGCCCAGAGGGUGCUGCUGGGGCGCGAGCAAAAGUCCCGUCCCUCAGGUUUGCAUAGGUAGGUGAGAAACAAACAAAGCGACCACGUGAGAACGUGGGGCGUGAGAACGGCCAAUCAUCUUAAAAGCAAUCAGCUACAAUCUACGAAGAGGAGAGGGAUCGCUGAACUUUUCCCCCAAUCCCCCAACAACAGAUGAGCCAAAGACACAAAAACACAGAGCCACAACCAGAGAGAGAGAAGAAGUCAUCUAAAAAAAAUCAUCUGGAGGCAACAGUUAUAAAUAUAUACCAACUAAAGAUACGCACGUGUACGCAAUCACCAAAGGGACAUUCACAAACAAUUAAAAAAAAAAAA